CAACAAGUACUAAACGUUGAUGCAUCGUUUCAUGUUGAAGAUCAUACAGGCGGGUGUGGAGCAGUAGUAAGAGAUAGCCGCGGGAAAUUCAUCGGCGCAUCAACAGCUUAUCUCAUGCAAAUCCCGGAUGUCGUCUCGGCGGAAGCUGCAGCUCUGUUAGAAGGCAUAAAAGUUCUCCAAAUCCUAGGUUGCAACAAUGUGAUGCUGAGAAUGGAUAAUAUUGUGGUGGUUGAUGCUCUACGGAUGAAUGAAGGUCAUGCUAUGGUGGCAGCCCCAGUUUUAGAAGAAUGUAGAUUCUUGUUUCGUGAGUUCGGGAAGGUAACUAUUGAGCAUUGUAAUCGAGAGUCAAAUGUAGUUGCUCAUGAGCUAGCUAGUUGGGGAAGUACAAACUCUCCCUCUGUAUGGGUAGACGCACCCCCUGAGUUUAUUGUAAAAUCUCUAGCAAACGAUGUAUGUGUGAUUGAUUAA
rnacentral:rRNA from 1 species